CUUGCUAUUUAAGAGGGAGCGAGGCUUAUCAGCCACCCUUUGAUUGCUUUGCUCUCUAGUAGGUAGGGUGACUGCUGCCUUGCUUGAUUCACAUGGAGCAUUGGCCUCCGUGUGAGUACAGUCUGGCAGGCAGGGGAGAGGGAACUGCUGGGCUCUGCCCCCCACUCCUCCGUCCCCUGGAGCUGUUCUCAUAGAAUUAAACAGCUGUGUUCAGCUGUCUGAAAUUCAGUGUGGUGACUGUUUGUGCCACUGGUCUGCAAAUUUCAGGAUUUACA